CCCUUUUGAUUCUUCCGUUUCUUCAUCUCCGAUUCUUCGGUUUCUCCACCCCCGCCCCUUCGCGCUUUUCCUCUCGGAUUCGUCGGUUUCUUCCGUUUCUCCAGCCCCACAUUAUUUGUAGUUGUAUAAAAUAACUUAGUGAUUCAGAUUUGAUGGAGCAAAGACAGCGUUUAUUUUCAAUUGAAACUGAGGUUGAUAGGAGGAGUACGAAGCUAUCAAGCAUUCGCAGGAGAUAGAGCUGCAACCUGAGACGUUGUUCUUCACUGUGAGCCUGAUGGACAGAUUUCUCAGCAGGGAGUAAUUUGAGACCGAAAGAAACCUGCAACUACUCGGCAUUGUGUCUGUCACUAUGCUACUAGGCUUGAAGAGGUCCAUCCUUGUAACAAGUAGAUGCUCUCAUUACUCGCACAUUAGAUGCAUCUGUCACUGGAGAAUUGAAAGUGGAGCUAUGAGUGACCUUACUGAUUUAAGGACAAAAAACUGCAUUAAGUUGAUGAAACUGCCGAUUGGAUUAAAACACUUGUCUUCCCUAAAGAAUUUGGUUAUGAAUGGCUUCCAACCAAAUAUCAUGUGAAGACUUAGUAGUAUGGGACCUGAUCGGCAUAAGGUUGAACAUAUACCCUCUUUGAUGAUUGACCCAACCACUGGGGAAUAGUAUGGGAGAGAGUCGGCUGCGGCACGUGCGCAGUAAGAGUGAUGAUCUACCUGAGUGUAUUCAGAGCUUGGAAUGGUUAGUUAAGUAUGUAUGUUAGCAUAUCGGGGGAAUACUCUCAUGUCAUCAGAGUACAGAAAUUAGACACAUGUGACAAGUGUAGCAGUUUUUUAUUGAAAUUUAUUACAACAUUAUGCUGCAAAUUCUCUUGACAAGGAUAUUCCAGGCUUCGAAUCUCACUCGGUGCAGUAUUUGUGAUUGGACUCCUCUCAGGAUGAUUCUCUAGGGGAAGCUGAUUGCUCUUCCUAUUUUCUUCAAAUGUGAAAUUGUCAGGGGAUGCAACUGAUGUUUGAUGUCCAUUAGUCUCUAAA